UAACCUGCCUUCAAGAGGGGGAUAACAUUCUGAAAAGAAUGCUAAUACCGCAUGACAUAUCGGAACCACAUGGUUCUGAUAUCAAAGAUUUUAUCGCUUGAAGAUGGACUCGCGUCCGAUUAGUUAGUUGGUGAGGUAACGGCUCACCAAGACCGCGAUCGGUAGCCGGACUGAGAGGUUGAACGGCCACAUUGGGACUGAGACACGGCCCAGACUCCUACGGGAGGCAGCAGUGGGGGAUAUUGCGCAAUGGGGGCAACCCUGACGCAGCAACGCCGCGUGGAGGAUGAAGGUUUUCGGAUUGUAAACUUCUUUUAUUAAGGACGAAACUUGACGGUACUUAAUGAAUAAGCUCCGGCUAACUACGUGCCAGCAGCCGCGGUAAUACGUAGGGAGCAAGCGUUGUCCGGAUUUACUGGGUGUAAAGGGUGCGUAGGCGGCUUUGCAAGUCAGAUGUGAAAUCUAUGGGCUCAACCCAUAAACUGCAUUUGAAACUGUAGAGCUUGAGUGAAGUAGAGGCAGGCGGAAUUCCCCGUGUAGCGGUGAAAUGCGUAGAGAUGGGGAGGAACACCAGUGGCGAAGGCGGCCUGCUGGGCUUUAACUGACGCUGAGGCACGAAAGCGUGGGUAGCAAACAGGAUUAGAUACCCUGGUAGUCCACGCUGUAAACGAUGAUUACUAGGUGUGGGGGGUCUGACCCCUUCCGUGCCGGA
rnacentral:rRNA from 1 species